UUUACAUGUACAUAUAAAAGAACAUUGAUUUUGAGAGCACAGCAUACUGAGUGUUGAUAGAUAACCAUGCACAAACUAAUGCUAUUCUGCCUUGUCUGUUUCUGUCUUGCUACGAUCUGUCAUGCCAUGACUGACAAUGCAGAUAUAAGAAGCGACGAAAUUUUGAGUCGUGACAAAAGAGCGAGACCUAGAUGUAGACGUAAUAAAAGAUGUGUUACUACCAGAAACUGUUGUAAUUAUAGACAAUAUUGUAGCGGAGGACGAUGUAAGACCAGAAAUUUGGACAUUUUGUAGAGGCAGGGCAUGGCUUGUUCGUGUUCCCUACAAAUAGAACCUCGCCAUAAUUUCAAGUCUGGUGGAUCCGUUGUUUCACGAACAUGUCUUGCAUAACUCUUUGAUUAUAUAUUAAAAAUUUCAACCGUU